rnacentral:rRNA from 1 species
UACAGAGGGUGCAAGCGUUGUUCGGAAUUAUUGGGCGUAAAGCGCGUGUAGGCGGCUUUGCAAGUCGGGUGUGAAAUCCCUCGGCUCAACCGAGGAAGUGCGCCCGAAACUGCAGAGCUUGAGUACCGGAGAGGAUGGCGGAAUUCCCGAAGUAGAGGUGAAAUGCGCAGAUAUCGGGAAGAACACCCGUGGCGAAGGCGGCUCUCUGGGACGGUACUGACGCUGAGACGCGAAAGCGUGGGGAGCGAACAGG